rnacentral:lncRNA from 1 species
CCUAUUCUUCAAUCUCAAACUCCCAAACCUUACAAUAAUGUGUCAGCUCCUAUGUUGGGCAUUAUAAUUCCUCCAUUCUUCAAUACGUCCGCAGCCACAGCACCUGAACUCGCCAGUGACAGCUGCUCGUUGGAGGUAUUUCUCGACCUAAAACAUGAUCAAAGAUCUAAUAGCAUAAGCUUUAAAUUAAAGACAUAUAACACAAAACAAAGAAAGAAGCAACAUCACACAAUGUUAAUUGAAAAUACUUAAAAUCAAGUUGAGUGGUCAAUAAAUUUUAAUAUCCG